UUGCACUUCGACAGAG
rnacentral:rRNA from 1 species